AAAUGUUAUUAUGAGAUUUGAAUACAAGCAUUAUUGUUGGUUCGAUUGAUGUCAUCAAAUCAGUCAGAAUAUUGCUGUGUUUUGCUUUUGUUGAGUUUAUCGAGAAACAAUUAUUAUGUUAUUCUCGAGAUUAAAAAAAAAAAUGAGUUAAUAGGGAACCGCGAAUAAUGAUUGGUUUCAUAGAUGCAUGAACACGUCAGUAGAUGAUAAUUCAAACGAGUUCGAAAUUAUUCCUUAACUAAACCCUCCAAUAAUCAAAAUUUCUGUUUCGACGUGGAAUAUUAUAACGUUACGGCUGAGUUAUGCAAUAAGAUUUCGUGUUUUGGCCAAGUUAUGAGAUACCAUAUGUUAUUAUGAUAA
rnacentral:sRNA from 1 species